GUUCAUUUUAACAAAAUAUAAUUAAAAUGUUACGUGUUACUUCCCUAACACGUCUACUACUUAAGCAAACGUUGAUCACACUACAAACAAUACAAAACUGCUAUAAGAAACAGAAAAUAUGAAUUCAUUGUUUACCUGAGUCUUCAGUCUAUGAUUAGCUCACCAGCUCUUAUCUGACAAGUCUUCGGGUUUGGGCUUAUGGGGCUGUCACGUGAUGAACGAACGACUCGGAAAAACCCGAAGACUCGAACCAGGUGAACUACUUGACUAAUUCCAGUACAGAACCUAUAGGAUGUUGCGCAUGCGCGACUGAACGAAUCGCUCCCCGAUACGACUCGUUCUUCCCGAGUCACAUUAAAGAUUCGUUCAAAACGAACGAAUCGUUCAAUAACGACCCAACCACUACUCGUUGUUCUCACUGAGUCCUCUUGUGUUUCCAUGCUAUGUCUCGGUCUGACACUGCUUUUUUUAAACCCUAUAUCGCGAAAUUAUUUACUUUAAGCUUCUGUUUUGACAUACAGGUGUUGGCACGGCCACAGACAGAGGCUUCAAACAGCUGAGCUGCAGCGACAUCGCGUGGUUGAUUAUGUAACAGGCGAACCCAGUGACCCUCGGAUUCAUCGAGACUUACUAGGAACUGGUCAAUUAACUUGUGAACUUGUUGCCUGACCUGCAUUCAGCAAUCAUGUUUCCCUGUUGGACUUUUGUGAUACAGAACAAAGUGGGAGGCAGGACCACGUGUACUCUACCCCCUCGCAGGAAAGUCAGUUGUUAUAACUUCAAGCAGCGGGCACUUUUAUGGACCUUUGAACCGGUCCGCUGACCACUAUUUUAUUUGUGUUGUAAAAUAUCAUACUUUGACCCUCUUACUUUUUAUUUCAGAGGUACUAACUCAAGUUAAUUGGACUGUUUUGUAAAUCACUGGAUGUCUAAGAUGUGUGUGUGUGUGUAUGUAAUAAAAUAUACAAAAUAUGCUAUAUAUAUAUAUAUAUAUA
rnacentral:lncRNA from 1 species